rnacentral:rRNA from 1 species
CAGCAGCCGCGGUAAAACAGAGGAUGCAAGCGUUAUCCGGAAUGAUUGGGCGUAAAGCGUCUGUAGGUGGCUUUUCAAGUCCGCCGUCAAAUCCCAGGGCUCAACCCUGGACAGGCGGUGGAAACUACCAAGCUGGAGUACGGUAGGGGCAGAGGGAAUUUCCGGUGGAGCGGUGAAAUGCGUAGAGAUGUGGAGGAACACCAGUGGCGAAGGCGACUCUCUGGUCUGUAACUGACGCUGAGGAGCGAAAGCGUGGGGAGCGAACAGGAUUAGAUACCCCAGUAGUCCCUGUCUCUUAUAC